AACUUGAAACCGUGUGCUUACAAGUAGUCAGAGCCCGUUAAUGGGUGAUGGCGUGCCUUUUGUAGAAUGAACCGGCGAGUUACGAUCUGAUGCAAGGUUAAGCAGAAAAUGUGGAGCCGUAGCGAAAGCGAGUCUGAAUAGGGCGUGUAGUAUUUGGUCGUAGACCCGAAACCAGGUGAUCUACCCAUGGUCAGGUUGAAGUUCAGGUAACACUGAAUGGAGGACCGAACCGACUUACGUUGAAAAGUGAGCGGAUGAACUGUGGGUAGCGGAGAAAUUCCAAUCGAACUUGG
rnacentral:rRNA from 1 species